UACAGAGGGUGCGAGCGUUAAUCGGAAUUACUGGGCGUAAAGCGUGCGUUAGACGGUUAUUUAAGUCGGGUGUGAAAGCCCCGGGCUCAACCUGGGAAUUGCAUUCGAGACUGAAUAGCUAGGGUACGGUAGAGGGAAGUGGAAUUUCCGGUGUAGCGGUGAAAUGCGUAGAUAUCGGAAGGAACAUCAGUGGCGAAAGCGACUCCUGGACCAGUACCGACGUCAGGCACGAAAGCGUGGGGAGCAAACAGGA
rnacentral:rRNA from 1 species